rnacentral:rRNA from 1 species
CGAAAGCCUGACGGAGCAAUACCGCGUGCGGGAGGAAGGCCUUUGGGUCGUAAACCGCUUUUAACAGGGAAGAAGAUCUGACGGUACCUGUUGAAUAAGCCUCGGCUAACUCCGUGCCAGCAGCCGCGGUAAGACGGAGGAGGCAAGCGUUAUCCGGAAUUAUUGGGCGUAAAGCGUCCGCAGGUGGCCUUUCAAGUCUGCUGUUAAAGCCCAGGGCUCAACUCUGGAUCAGCAGUGGAAACUGAAAAGCUAGAGUACGGUAGGGGUAGAGGGAAUUCCCAGUGUAGCGGUGAAAUGCGUAGAUAUUGGGAAGAACACCAGUGGCGAAGGCGCUCUGCUGGGCCGUAACUGACACUCAUGGACGAAAGCUAGGGGAGCG